UUGGAGGGCAAGUCUGGUGCCAGCAGCCGCGGUAAUUCCAGCUCCAAUAGCGUAUAUUAAAGUUGUUGCAGUUAAAAAGCUCGUAGUUGAAUUUCGGGAUCGACGGGUCGGUCGCGCCUCUGGUGUGUACUGGCCCUGUCGGUUUCUCCCUUCUGACGAACCACGAUGUCAUUAAUUUGGUGUCGUGGGAAAUCAGGACUGUUACUUUGAAAAAAUUAGAGUGUUUAAAGCAGGCAUUCGCUUGAAUACAUUAGCAUGGAAUAAUGAAAUAGGACGUUUGAUCUUAUUUUGUUGGUUUCUAAGAUCGACGUAAUGAUUAAUAGGGAUAGUUGGGGGCAUUAGUAUUCAAUUGUCAGAGGUGAAAUUCUUGGAUUUAUUGAAGACUAACUACUGCGAAAGCAUUUGCCAAGGAUGUUUUCAUUAAUCAAGAACGAAAGUUAGGGGAUCGAAGACGAUCAGAUACCGUCGUAGUCUUAACCAUAAACUAUGCCGACUAGGGAUCGGAUGAUGUUAAUUUUAAUGACUCAUUCGGCGCCUUACGGGAAAC
rnacentral:rRNA from 1 species